UACGUAGGUGGCAAGCGUUGUCCGGAAUGACUGGGCGUAAAGGGAGCGUAGGCGGCGCAACAAGUUAGGAGUGAAAUCCCGGGGCUUAACUCCGGAACUGCUUUUAAAACUGUUGUGCUUGAGUGAUGGAGAGGAAAGCGGAAUUCCUAGUGUAGCGGUGGAAUGCGUAGAUAUUAGGAGGAACACCAGAGGCGAAGGCGGCUUUCUGGACAUUAACUGACGCUGAGGCUCGAAAGCGUGGGGAGCAAACAGG
rnacentral:rRNA from 1 species